UACAUUACAAAAUGGCAAACAAGGUAGAAACCCUAGUUGCUAGCGCUGCAAUCAAAUGCCCAGCUGAUAAAUUCUACAAUUUCUUCAAGUUCAACAUGAGCGACAUUGUCAAGAUUUUCCCGGCCGCCUUCACCGGAGUUGAGCUCAUCCAAGGAGGGCGCCGUUGGCUCCAUCAAGAUCUGGCACUAUAUUGUUGGAGCAAUUCCAACAACUGCCAAGGUUUUGACAGAGGCAAUAGAUGCUGCUGCAAAAAUCAUGACAUUUUCGACUUUGGAAGGAGAUCUUCUGCAAGUGUAUAAGAGUUUUAAGGCGACUCUUAGUGUGAAUGAUGGUUUGGCAAAAUGGAGCUUUGAGUAUGAGAAAGCUACUAUUCUUUCUCCUCCUCCUCAACUCUAUGUUCCUCUUGUCGUUACUCUCUGCACUCUCGUCGAUGCCUAUCUUCUCAUCAACUGAGUUGCGUUCGUUUUAUCUUUGAUUUGUAAUAGUGUGCUCCACAUCAUUAGUAGUGUAGUGUAAUAGUAUAACUUGUAAAAAUGAUGUGUAAGGAUAAUGUGUUAUUUAACUAAUCUAAAAUUAGAAAGUUCAUUU